CCUUGGCCGGAAACAGAAUCACG
rnacentral:piRNA from 1 species